rnacentral:rRNA from 1 species
UACGUAGGGUGCAAGCGUUGUCCGGAAUUAUUGGGCGUAAAGAGCUCGUAGGUGGCCUGUCGCGUCGGCUGUGAAAACUCGGGGCUCAACUCCGAGCUUGCAGUCGAUACGGGCAGGCUAGAGUUCGGCAGGGGAGACUGGAAUUCCUGGUGUAGCGGUGAAAUGCGCAGAUAUCAGGAGGAACACCGGUGGCGAAGGCGGCUCACUGGCUCAUUUCUGACGCUCAGGCGCGACAGCGUGGGGAUCAAACAGG